rnacentral:rRNA from 1 species
GCCUAACACAUGCAAGUCGAACGAGAGAGAGGAAGCUUGCUUCCUCAAUCGAGUGGCGAACGGGUGAGUAACGCGUGAGGACCCUGCCUCAAAGAGGGGGACAACAGUUGGAAACGACUGCUAAUACCGCAUAAGCCCACGGGUCGGCAUCGACCAGAGGGAAAAGGAGCAAUCCGCUUUGAGAUGGCCUCGCGUCAGAUUAGCUAGUUGGUGAGGUAAUGGCCCACCAAGGCGACGAUCGGUAGCCGGACUGAGAGGUUGAACGGCCUCAUUGGGACUGAGACACGGCCCAGACUCCUACGGGAGGCAGCAGUGGGGAAUAUUGCACAAUGGGGGAAACCCUGAUGCAGCGACGCCGCGUGGAGGAAGAAGGUCUUCGGAUUGUAAGCUCCUGUUGUUGAGGAAGAUAAUGACUGUACUCAACAAGGAAGUGACGGCUAACUACGUGCCAGCAGCCGCGGUAAAACGUAGGUCACAAGCGUUGUCCGGAAUUACUGGGUGUAAAGGGAGCGCAGGCGGGAAGACAAGUUGGAAGUGAAAUCUAUGGGCUCAACCCAUAAACUGCUUUCAAAACUGUUUUUCUUGAGUAGUGCAGAGGUAGGCGGAAUUCCCGGUGUAGCGGUGGAAUGCGUAGAUAUCGGGAGGAACACCAGUGGCGUAGGCGGCCUACUGGGCACCAACUGACGCUGAGGCUCGAAAGUGUGGGUAGCAAACAAGAUUAGAUACCCUGGUAGUCCACACCGUAAACGAGGUUUACUAGGUGUGGGAGGGAUGGACCCCUUCAGUGCCCCAGUUAACACAAUAAGUAUUCCACUGGGGGAGUACGACCGCAAGGUGGAAACUCAAAGGAAUUGACGGGGGCCCGCACAAGCAGUGGAGUAUGUGGUUUAAUUCGACGCAACGCGAAGAACCUUACCAAGUCUUGACAUCCUGCGACGCACAUAGAAAUAUGUGUUUCCUUCGGGACGCAGAGACAGGUGGUGCAUGGUUGUCGUCAGCUCGUGUCGUGAGAUGUUGGGUUAAGUCCCGCAACGAGCGCAACCCUUACUGUCAGUUACUACGCAAGAGGACUCUGGCAGGACUGCCGUUGACAAAACGGAGGAAGGUGGGGAUGACGUCAAAUCAUCAUGCCCUUUAUGACUUGGGCUACACACGUACUACAAUGGCGUUAAACAAAGAGAAGCAAGACCGCGAGGUGGAGCAAAACUCAGAAACAACGUCCCAGUUCGGACUGCAGGCUGCAACUCGCCUGCACGAAGUCGGAAUUGCUAGUAAUCGUGGAUCAGCAUGCCACGGUGAAUACGUUCCCGGGCCUUGCACA